UGAGUAACACGUAUGCAAUCCACCUGUAACAGGGGGAUAACCCGGAGAAAUCCGGACUAAUACCUCAUAAUAUGGGCGCUCCGCAUGGAGAGCCCAUUAAAGAGAGCAAUUUUGGUUACAGACGAGCAUGCGCUCCAUUAGCCAGUUGGCGGGGUAACGGCCCACCAAAGCGACGAUGGAUAGGGGUUCUGAGAGGAAGGUCCCCCACAUUGGAACUGAGACACGGUCCAA
rnacentral:rRNA from 1 species